rnacentral:sRNA from 1 species
CAUAGUAAGCACCCAUGUGUUGAAAACACAUAUUGAAAUGGCACAAUCGACCUGCCGCCCAACGAAUGUGAGGGGCGAUACCAAAC